GUCUUGAUUUGGUAUCUUUCUUCUUCAAUAGGUAUUUUAAUAUCCUGUGACAAGAAAACACAAUAACCUUAGUUCCCAACAAAUAGGAACAAAUUUUUUCUAGUGUAAACACAACGGCUAGUUGUGUGAUCGUAGGAGGGCAUUUUAGUUACCCGGUAAGUAACCAUUAGAAUUCGGCCCAACCCAAAGAUAAAGAUAGGAAAAAGCCUGGACCAAGGAAGUAGAGUCAAGAUUCAACGAUAAGGAGGCCCAAUCCUAUGAAUCCCAAGGAUCCAAUUCGU
rnacentral:lncRNA from 1 species